CGUUCAACCAUUGCAUUCAGUGCUCAUUAUUCUAAUCUCUCCUUCUUCGAAUGUUUGCAAUGAUUAUGUCUCACAGUGUUAGGGCAGUACUGGCGCAUGGCAUGAUGAUGUCGCCACUGAAUUUUGUGACCGUGUGCUACGUGUUGGAAACUGAGGCUUUGUCAGUUUGUGACGAGCGAACAGCUUUUUGCUUACAAAUACAAGUUCAAGCGACCGCUAACAGCUGUGAACACUAAUCUUGUCAGGAGCACGGCACAUCUUCCAGAUAAUAGUAUCAGCGUUGUUAUGGCCAUGGCCUAACUCUCUUCACCUAGAGCUGUGGAAUUCUACUCCCUCCAUGGUCCCCCACACGACGUCUAUUGGUUAGUUUUGAAUGUAGCUUUGGUCGGACAUGCGAGUAAGUGUAACAGCAAGAGUGAGAGAACACUGUGGUUGCUAUAAACUGCACGGAACUUCUACAAGAACAAUGUCAUGGGUCCAUGGAACAGAGCUGAACAUUGUCAUGGGUCCAUGGAGCAGAGCUGAACAAUGUCAUGGGUCCAUGGAGCAGAGCUGAGCAAUGUCAUGGGUCCAUGGAGCAGAGCUGAAUUAACAAUGUCAUGGGUCCAUGGAGCAGAGCUGAACAAUGUCAUGGGUCCAUGGAGCAGAGCUGAACAAUGUCAUGGGUCCAUGGAGCAGAGCUGAACAAUGCCAUGGGUCCACGGCGCAGAGCUGAACAAUGUCAUGGGUCCCUGGACCAGAGCUGAACGCUGCUUGGUGACAACUGCCUCGUAGCCAGCAAUUUUGGAACAACAAUUUCAGCCAAUGGCUGCACACAAUGACAAUUGGAUGUACAUGUGUAUGUUUGUGCAUGGAAUGGCUGCUGUUUGUCCAUGGAAUGGCUGACGUUUGGCCAGGGAAUGGCUGCUGCUUGGACAUGGAAUGCCUGACGCGUGGCCACGGAAUGGCUGACGUUUGGCCACGGAAUCAAUGCCUGCUGUUUUGCCACGGAAUGGUUGCACGGUUUCGGCACGCUUGGCACGUAAAUACCUGCAAACAUGUACAAGUGUCUCUGCAAGGAAACGGAUGGAGUUCAUGUCCACGGGUCACUUUGCUAGUGGCUGAAAGGAGGAGUCAUCUGGAUGAGGUAGGCUGAGUCGCUCGGCAGCCAAGGUAUUCCAGGACUGUAUGGUGGUCAGAGUCAGAAUAGGAGCCAUGUAUGGCCAGACAGCAAGAAUUCACGGUGGUCACUGUCAAUCAUGGAGCUGUGAAUGGCCAGAAUGGUGUGAAAUAGUGAAUUUUUUUUCGCUCAGCUGCCAUUCACAAUGUACCUUCUGUGUAACUGGGCGGAG